AGGAAUCUGAGGGUAAUGGUGGAAGGUUGCUUUUCGGACUGGAGGCCUGUGACUAGUGGUGUGCCUCAGGGUUCGGUGCUGGGCCCCAUUGGUGUUCGUCAUCUAUAUCAAUUAUUUGGACUACAAUGUACAUGGCAUGAUUAGCAAGUCUGCAGAUGACACAAAA